rfam:Kluyvera ascorbata ATCC 33433 GKAS.assembly.005, whole genome shotgun sequence.
CGUCGUUCAUACGACCACCAAUGAUUCAGUAGCCUGUGAGAAUCGCCUUCGGGUGGCUACAGCGAAAGCUCCUGUAACCUGAAAGGGAGCAAACUUUGGUACAUCUGCGCACCUUUGAAAGCAGAUAUCGCCUGUACAAGCGCAU